UUCCUCCUCUCUGGUACAGAGGUCCACAGUUUUUAGGUAUUUCAGGAUCUCUCUUUUCCUAUCCUGUCUCAAUCCCACAAUGAGACAGCUGCAUUAUUUUUGGCAAAUCCCUCAUGCACUGGUGCCUGGAAGCUGCCUCCAUGGAGUAAGCUGGGCAAUGUUAGUGCUCAUCUCAUCUGUUUUCCUUAUCUCUGUGCUACCUGAUGUUCAAGGUCCAAAAAUAGUUUUCCAAUUGGAAGAUCAACUCUACCGUUAUCAGUGAAAAAGAAGUCAUGUAUUUUAUUUUUGUUAUGUUUUACAAAUAUGUCAUUCCACGAUAAAUCAGGAUAAUAACCUUAUCACUUAACUGCACAUUAUUCGACACCUGCCUUACAAAAAAUUUUCUCCACGGCAUGUUGACAGAGUCAACAUGAAUAUAACUACUUCAGAGAAAUGACUUGGGUUGAGGAGGAAGCACUUUCCAUACAGAGGGAUCCUUCUCUUACCCAUGGGAAUCAGAGACACAUGCAAGGAAAAAACCUCUGACUAUUCCAUCUAGAAAUUGUAACUGGGGUUUCUGUCGAAGCUAGAGAUACCUGUACAUGCAAAAAAUUAUGGAAUGAAUAAUAGAAUAUUUCCCUCGGCACGCUUAUGUUUAGGACUCUCUUCUUAGGAUCCUGUCCCAUUCUCCUGUAUGUACCCCCACAAGCUAUUAUCAGGAGGAAUAGGUCAGACAACACUGUGGUGCAAUUUUCACGAUCACCACCAGAGGGCGGGGCUUCCUUCAGAUACGUUUCCUCAUUGUAUUCAGGAGCUGGUUUCACUUGCCUGCUUGUAGCCACAGACAGAAUAUUGCUGCAGUACAGAAAGGGGCUCUCAGUUUCUGAGCGAGGAGCUUCUGUAACAUUCAGAUGGAGACUAGAUUUGUGUAUUCCAGGGAACAAGGAUCGUUUUCUUUUGCGAACAUGCAUUCUGCCACUCACUCAGUUCUUCUGAUCAUCUUAAUAUUCAGAGGGACCAAUGGUGACUCAGUGAACCAGACAGAAGGCCCAGUGACUGUCUCAGAGGGGGCUCUCAUGACCCUGAACUGCACUUACCAGACUGCUGAUUCUGCUCCCUUUCUUUUCUGGUACAUCCAGCAUCUCAACAAAGCUCCUCAAUUCCUCCUAAAGGGCUCAAUGUCAGACCAGAACCCAAAGAGUAAAGGUUUCCAGGCCACUCUUGUUAAGCGUGACAGCUCCUUCCACCUGCAGAAACGGGCAGUGCAAGCAUCAGACUCGGCUGUGUACUACUGUGCUCUGAGUGACACAGUGAGAGAGGGCUGCGGGGGAGCUGAGCACAAACCCCGAGUGCAGAUGGGGCUCUGGCUGUGGGCAGCCCUGCAGGGGGGUUGUUGUUUCUGUCUUAGGCGCUUUAUGCUAGCUGUGUUGUUGUUUAUGUACUAAGUCACGUCCGACUCUUUUACUACCCUAUGACUGUAGUGGGCUCUUCUGUCCAUGGGAUUUCCCAGGCAAGAAGACUGGAGUGGGUUGCCAUUUCUUUCUCCUGGG